UGUUGUGUUUGUUUUAUGUGAUUACUGUUGAAUUGAAAAACUGGAUAUUAAAGCUAAAUGGAAUAUUGUGUGAUUAAGUGGAUGGACGAAACAACAUCUUUAUUAGAUAUCCUGAGAGGUGGUGGACGGAUCAGGUACAUAGGGAACCCUAUCGUAAACGUUGCCUUAUAUCGGACGAGAUAUCGAAGUUUGGUAAUUUGACGCUCAUACCGGAUAGGGUAUGGGGACGGUCCGUUUCACCCUCAUAGCGGACGAGGU
rnacentral:lncRNA from 1 species